rnacentral:ncRNA from 1 species
AUGGGGCACGUGGAAUCCCGUGUGAAUCAGNNNNNNNCACCUUGCAAGGCUAAAUACUCCUAGGUGACCGAUAGCGAAGUAGUACCGUGAGGGAAAGGUGAAAAAACCAAGUGGGUAAUAAAAAACAUCGUGAAACCUUGUCGAGCUCCCAAGCAGUGGGAGGGGAAAGUGAUCGCUGACCGCGUGCGUGUUGAAGAAUGAGCCGACGAUUCAUAUGCAAUGGCUUGGUUAAGGGAACGAAACCCACCAGAGUCAUAGUGAAAGAAAGUCUUAAUAGGGCGAUUGUCACUUCUUAUGGACCCAAACCCCUGUGGUCUAUCCAUGACCAGGAUGAAGGUUGGACGAAACUAAGCAGAGGACUGAACCAACUGAUGUUGAGUAAUCAGCGGAUGAGUUGUGGUGAGGGUUGAAAUGCCACUCGAACCCAGAGCUAGAUGGUUCUCCUCGAAAUGUGUUGAGGCGCAACAGUUGACUGAACAUCUAGGGGUAAAGCACUGUUUCGGUGCGGGCUAAACGAUCGGUGCCAAAUCGAGGCAAACUCUGAAUACUAGAUAUGACCCAAAAAUAACAGGGGUCGAGUCGGCCUGUGAGACGAUGGGGAAUAAGCUUCGUCGUCGAGAGGGAAACNNNNNNGAUCACCAGCUAAGACCCCUAAAUGAACGAUUAGUGAUAAGUAAGGUGGGGGGGGGGGGCAAAGACAGCCAUUAGGUUUGCCUAGAAGCAGCCACCCUUUAAAGAGUGCGUAAUAGCUCACGGAUCGAGCACCAUCGUGCUGAAGGUAAACAGGGAUAAGCAAGGUGCCUAAGCUAUGAGAUGUCAAAAUGCAUUGGUAGGGGAGCGUUCCGUCUUAGAGGGAAGCAACCUCUUUCCUAAAUAUGUAUCGGUUAUAUUUCAUGGUCGAGGCUCAUUUUUCUAUUGUUUUACCAUACAUGGUUUGUUUCU